rnacentral:rRNA from 1 species
UACGUAGGGGGCAAGCGUUGUCCGGAUUUACUGGGCGUAAAGAGCGUGUAGGCGGCCACGCAGGUCCGUUGUGAAAACUGGAGGCUCAACUUCCAGCCGUCGACGGAAACCGUGUGGCUAGAGUCCGGAAGAGGAGAGUGGAAUUCCUGGUGUAGCGGUGAAAUGCGCAGAUAUCAGGAGGAACACCGAUGGCGAAGGCAGGUCUCUGGGCCACUACUGACGCUGAGAAGCGAAAGCAUGGGGAGCGAACAGG